rnacentral:rRNA from 1 species
UGCUGUAAAUAGUUUUGUCUUUGGUUAAAGUACCUUUUGCAUCAUGAUUCUUUGAGAUGUUUAGAUUAUUUCUAGUUCCCGAAUGGCUUAUGAUUUUCAUUGAUUCAUAGCAAGUUUGUGCAUAGAUAAGUUGUUGUGUAAGCAUUUGUAGAAAUCAUUGAGGUUGUGAUAAAUAAUUCGUAUAGUCUGAUAACUGGUUUAUAGCUUGAUUAUUUCAACGAAAUAAAGAUUGAUUGUGUUUAUCUUUACUGAUAGAGAUAGUUUAUAUGUUGUUGUUGAGUCUUGGAUUAGAAUUGUCCUAGGAUAAGUUAGUUAUUUACUUGACAUUUUAUUUGUAUGUUUUCUUAUUGUUGAUGGCUAUAUUCUUAAUUAUUUGUUUAAUAAUGAAGAAAUGAGUAGGAUUAUGUUUUAUUAGUCCGUUAUUUGUCUUUAAUUCUGUUCAACUGUUUAUCAAAAACAUUGCUAUUUGUUGGAUUUAAAUAGUAUGGCCUGCCCAAUGUUGUAAAUUAAUGGUCGCAGUUUUACUGUGCUAAGGUAGCAUAAUAUAUCGCUUCUUAAUUAGUGGCUUGUGAAUGGUUUAAUGAAAUAGAAUAUUUAAAUGAUGACUAUAUCUGAAAUUGAUUUAGUGGUGCGGAAUCCAUUGUUAUAAUAUAA